rnacentral:rRNA from 1 species
CAGUAGCCGCGGGAAUACGGAGGGUGCAAGCGUUAAUCGGAAUUACUGGGCGUAAAGCGUGCGUAGGCGGUUCGUUAAGUCUGUUGUGAAAGCCCCGGGCUCAACCUGGGAAUGGCAAUGGAUACUGGCGAGCUAGAGUGAGUCAGAGGAUGGUGGAAUUCCCGGUGUAGCGGUGAAAUGCGUAGAGAUCGGGAGGAACAUCAGUGGCGAAGGCGGCCAUCUGGGACAACACUGACGCUGAGGCACGAAAGCGUGGGGAGCAAACAGGAUUAGAUACCCGUGUAGUCCCUGUCUCUUAUAA